AGAGUUUGAUCCUGGCUCAGAUUGAACGSUGGCGGCRUGCCUKACACAUGCAAGUCGAACGGUAACAGCACUUCGGUGGCUGACGAGUGGSGAACGGGUGAGURAUACAUCGGAACGUGCCCGAGAGUGGGGGAUAACGCAGCGAAAGCUGUGCUAAUACCGCAUACGAUCUACGGAUGAAAGCAGGGGACCGCAAGGCCUUGCGCUCAUGGAGCGGCCGAUGGCAGAUUAGGUAGUUGGUGGGAUAAAAGCUUACCAAGCCGACGAUCUGUAGCUGGUCUGAGAGGACGACCAGCCACACUGGGACUGAGACACGGCCCAGACUCCUACGGGAGGCAGCAGUGGGGAAUUUUGGACAAUGGGCGAAAGCCUGAUCCAGCCAUGCCGCGUGCAGGAUGAAGGCCUUCGGGUUGUAAACUGCUUUUGUACGGAACGAAAAGGUCUUCUCUAAUAAAGAAGGCUCAUGACGGUACCGUAAGAAUAAGCACCGGCUAACUACGUGCCAGCAGCCGCGGUAAUACGUAGGGUGCAAGCGUUAAUCGGAAUUACUGGGCGUAAAGCGUGCGCAGGCGGUUAUAUAAGACAGAUGUGAA
rnacentral:rRNA from 1 species